GUAGGGAAUAUUGCACAAUGGAGGAAACUCUGAUGCAGCGACGCCGCGUGAGUGAUGAAGGCCUUCGGGUCGUAAAGCUCUGUCGCAGGGGAAUAACACAAUGAAGGUACCCUGUAAGAAAGGAUCGGCUAACUUCGUGCCAGCAGCCGCGGUAAGACGAGGGAUCCUAGCGUUGUUCGGAAUCAUUGGGCGUAAAGCGGAUGUAGGUGGCUAUGUAAGUCAGAUGUGAAAGCCUGGGGCUCAACCCCAGAAGUGCAUGUGAUACUGCGUAGCUUGAGUGUCGGAGAGGUUACCGGAAUACCUGGUGUAGUGGUGAAAUACGUAGAUAUCAGGUGGAACACCGGAGGCGAAGGCGGGUAACUGGACGAACACUGACACUGAGGCCCGAAAGCGUGGGGAUCAAACAGGAUUAGAUACCCCUGUAGUCC
rnacentral:rRNA from 1 species